GGGUGUGAUCAUACCAGCACUAAUGCACCAGAUCCCAUCAGAACUCCGCAAUCAAACGUGCUUGGGCAAGAGUAGUACUGGGAUGGGGGACCCCCAGAAAAAUCCUCGUGUUGCACCCC